rnacentral:rRNA from 1 species
AUUCCAGCUCCAAUAGCGUAUAUUAAAGUUGUUGCGGUUAAAAAGCUCGUAGUUGGAUUUCUGCCGAGGAUGACCGGUCCGCCCUGUGGGUGUGCAUCUGGCUCAGCCUUGGCAUCUUCCUGAAGAACGUAGCUGCACUUGACUGUGUGGUGCGGUAUUUAGGACAUUUACUUUGAGGAAAUUAGAGUGUUUCAAGCAAGCGCACGCUUUGAAUACAUUAGCAUGGAAUAAUAAGAUAUGACUUCUGUCUAUUUUGUUGGUUUGCAUUCGGAAGUAAUGAUUAAUAGGGAUAGUUGGGGGUUUUCGUAUUCAAUUGUCAGAGGUGAAAUUCUUGGAUUUAUGGAAGACGAACUACUGCGAAAGCAUCAACCAAGGAUGUUUUCAUCG